GUGGUAGCUUUGACAGCCCAGGUGCUAAAAUUAGAACAGCGCAGAGAAGAUCUUGGCUCUUGCCCCAGGAUGGCAUGUAAAUUCAUGAGGCAUCCUGUAUUUUU
ensembl:snRNA U6 U6 spliceosomal RNA